rfam:Danio rerio chromosome 25 genomic contig CTG2378, GRCz11 reference primary assembly.
CCAAAGGCUCUUUUAAGAGCCACCAAUCAUUUCUUAUAAAAGGGUAU